GAUGAACGCUGGCGGCGUGCCUAAUACAUGCAAGUCGAGCGAACAGACGAGGAGCUUGCUCCUCUGACGUUAGCGGCGGACGGGUGAGUAACACGUGGAUAACCUACCUAUAAGACUGGGAUAACUUCGGGAAACCGGAGCUAAUACCGGAUAAUAUAUUGAACCGCAUGGUUCAAUAGUGAAAGACGGUUUUGCUGUCACUUAUAGAUGGAUCCGCGCCGCAUUAGCUAGUUGGUAAGGUAACGGCUUACCAAGGCAACGAUGCGUAGCCGACCUGAGAGGGUGAUCGGCCACACUGGAACUGGGACACGGUCCAGACGCCUGCGGGAGGCAGCAGUAGGGAAUCUUCCGCAAUGGGCGAAAGCCUGACGGAGCAACGCCGCGUGAGUGAUGAAGGUCUUCGGAUCGUAAAACUCUGUUAUUAGGGAAGAACAAAUGUGUAAGUAACUAUGCACGUCUUGACGGUACCUAAUCAGAAAGCCACGGCUAACUACGUG
rnacentral:rRNA from 1 species